CCUACGGGUGGCAGCAGUGGGGAAUUUUGCGCAAUGCUCGUAAGAGUGACGCAGCGACGCCGCGUGAAUGACGAAGGCCUUCGGGUCGUAAAGUUCUUUCGACAGGGAAGAAAAUGCCUAUAAGUAACUGUGUAUGUAUUGACGGUACCUGUAUAAGCAGCCCCGGCUAACUCCGUGCCAGCAGCCGCGGUAAUACGGAGGAUGCGAGCGUUAUCCGGAUUUAUUGGGUUUAAAGGGUGCGCAGGCGGUCUGUUAAGUCAGCGGUCAAAGCCCGGGGCUCAACCCCGGCCCGCCGUUGAAACUGGCAGUCUCGAGUUGGAGAGAAGUAUGCGGAAUGCGCGGUGUAGCGGUGAAAUGCAUAGAUAUCGCGCAGAACUCCGAUUGCGAAGGCAGCAUGCCGGCUCCACACUGACGCUGAGGCACGAAAGCGUGGGUAUCGAACAGGAUUAGAUACCCGAGUAGUC
rnacentral:rRNA from 1 species